UCACGAGGUGAAAAUGCACUUCCAAAUUCUUAAGACCUAUGUCACUGUGCCUGUACCCUUCUCCAUGCCUUCAUCCACCCAUGUAAUGGCCACACACAUCUCGUGGCCAUGUAUACCUUGUAUGUGAGGGGUCAGUGACAUAUUAUUGGAAAAGAGCAGUGUGUGGUGCCUGGUUGUGGGAGUGCUCCAGAAAUGUCCUUUCUUGAUUUCCCUUUUCCUCAAAGUUGUGCUUGAAACCUGCUAUCAAUACUGAGGCCUGAUCUUGGUGGAAAUGGGGGUGUUGCCCUACUUUUUCAUUUGAAAGGCUCUUACUCUUAACUUGAGAAGUAAAUUUAGCUCCACGGAGCACUUGAGAGAAAUGUUUACUUUACUGAAGAUAUGGUGGGAAUUCAGGAAGAAUUCACAGUCCAUCCUAUACUGAAAAACACAAUGAAACAUCUAUUAGACUUUUCUUCUGAUGCAGACUAAUUGUUGCUGUUUUUGCCAGUUUUCUUGUCUCCCUUUCUUCUUUUGCCUUAAAAUCCUCUCUGCUUUCCUGAGCAAUUCAUCUCAGCAUUUCUUGUUUUAUUCCAGAACAUCCUUUUAGGAUCGUUUUGUUUUUUUAGAUGUUCAUCCUUUAGUCAUUCCUUGGAUAAGAAUCUAUUAAUGGUCAAGUGUCUCAGUUUUUAUUUAGCCAAGAUGUUUUUAUUUUCUUAUUUUCAAAAGAUGAUAUUUCUGAGAAAACAGUUCUAGACUGACAGUUAUUUUCUUUCAGAUGCUGAGGAGUGGUUCCACUGUCUUUUGGUUUCAUUGUUUCUGUUGGAAGUCUGCUGUAAGAUCACAAUCCUUCUGUGGUGGGUGAUCUGUUUUUCCUUUUGUGUUGCUUUCAAUAUUUUCUCUUUGGCUUUGACAUUUUACAGUUUCAUAGAAUAUGCCUUGUAUAUGUGAUUAUUUAUAUUUUCUUUUAACCUUGCCUGAUGUAUUAUUCUUCCUGUCUCUGCAGAUCCAUGUCUUUCAUUAGUUCUGGCAUUUUCUUAGUUACCAGCUCUUCAAUAGGGUCUCUCUCCAUCUCUCCCUUCCUCCCUCCCCUCCCGUAUUCUUUAUUUUCUCUCCUGUAUAAGUCUUUUUCGAUGUGUGGUAGAACUUCCCAUUCAUUCCCCCUUUUCUCUUUCUGUUUUCUAUUUUCUUAUUUUGUGGGUGUGUGUACUGAAUUCUCAGUUUUUUCUUCAGAUCUGUCUUUAGUUAAAUAAUCCCCUAUUCAUCCAUGUUUGUUUUGCUGUUUCAUAUAUCCAUUAUUUCAUACACAUACACAUGCAUGCAUAUGUAUGAAUGUGUCUAUCUCAUGUAUGUGUGUAUAUAUAUUUAUAUUUGUUUUUAAUUAAAUAUAGUUUUAUUUUUAUUUCCUUAAGUUUUAUUUGGUUCUUUGUCAGAUCUAUUUGGUCACUUAUUCUUGUCCUUUUUUCAAAAGUUGUUCAUUUUUCCAUUUUUAUUUCUUUUAACAUUUUAUUCAUAGUUAUUUUAUGUUUUGUAUCUGAUGAUUUAAAUAUUUGAAGUUCUUAGGGGUUUAAAUCAUGCUUUCUCUUUUUGCUGAUUCCCACUUAUGAUGGUGAUUACUUUGUAGUUUGGUGAAUUUUUUCCUUUUAAAAAACAUAUUUAACUAAACUUAAACUGUGGUAGUCUUCAUGUACCUGGGUUAAGAAGGCUUUGCUCUGGUGAGGAUUUGCAUUUUCCUCUGCCAGGCACACAAGUGUUAACAAACUGAGACCACUUUAUUUUCCUUGUUUGGGAUUUUCAAGAUUAGGUGGGUAGCAAAAAUUUGAACCUGAGGUUCAUGUGACAGCAGGUUCAUGGUUACAAAUUCCCAGGGGAGACCAUCACUAUUACUUUUUAUUUUAUUUUAUUACUUUUUUCUUUUUAUGGCCACACCUGUGGCAUGUGGAAGUUCUCAGGCUAGGGGUUGAAUCAGAGCUGCAGCCUAUGCCACAGCCACUGCAACACCAGAUCCAAGGCACAUGUGUGACCCACACUGCAGCAUGCAGCAACACUGGAUCCUUAACGCACUGGGUGAAGCCAGGGAUUGAACCCGAGCACUCACAGAGACAAUGCUGGGUCCUUAAUCCAGUGAGCCUCAAUGGGACCUCUCAUCUCUAUACCUUUAAAUUUUUAUUGUUAUUACUAUUAAGAAUGUUUCCACCUGGAGCUCUGCUGAAAACGGAUUUCCCUCUGACUUGUUUGGCCAACAGAUAUGUGUUUUCCUAGCCCAUUCUUUUCCUGGAGAGUAAACCCUUCGUUCAUGAUUUAGCAAUUCUCUGAUUCCUCUCCCACUUGAUAUAGAUCAAAGAUCCCAUUUCUCUGUACAACCAUUAAGGAUUUUCUUAAAGGAUCAGAGGAAAUAUUGUAAGUUUUCAGGCUGUGUGGUCUCUGUUGUGACUCAGCCUUGCUGUUGUAGCACAAAAGCAGCCACACAUGAAUGAAAUGGGCAUAUGCCAAUAAAAAUUUAUUUACAAAAGCAGGAGGUUAACCUCUUGUGCUGUGGUUUGUUAAUUCCUGAUCUAGAAUCCUGGUAUUGGCAUUUGCUUCCUGAAUAGCCCCAGCUGCUGAAUUUUCUUACUUUUUUGCCCAUGGCUUAUUUUGUUUUGUUUUAUUUUACUUUAUGUUUAUGGGAGUUUCCCUUGUUAACCAAUUCAUUUAAUAUUGCAGUUUAUCCAGCAUCUCAGUGUUUCACAAUGAAAAGAUUUUUGAAAUAGCUGGUCUUCUGCAUUUCUUAUAGCAAAACAAUGAUUUAUCUCUCCCUUUGAGCUUACAUACCCCUUCAGCUAAGUAAAACCUGGUAAGUUAGCUAACAGACAACCAUCCUAUUUUUCCUUAAGCAUCUCCCCUAGUUCUUCAGCAUCUUAUUGCACCAAUUUAUCGCUCCUCUUCCAUCUGAGAGUUUGUUGGCUCAGGUUAGCAACAUUUCAGAAGAGAUACCCCAGGAUUCUGACCUCUCUCCUGUCAUGUCAGAGGAUAGAGUAGAAGAAAUUUGGGUGCUCUGUGAGUGUGGCCCUCCAAAAUCUCUUUUAGUCUGUUUACUGGGGCUCUCCUACCUGUUUUUCACUGCUCUAAGGGCUGGGGUUUACAGAUAGGAAAAAUGGAAAAAACCCCUCUUCUCUUGAACAUGGCAUUUUAAUGGGGAAGGAACAGAAAGUAAAUAAAUGAAUAAAAUCAGAAAAUAUCAGGAAAUGCUAUGCUGAAAAUGACAAGGUGUUUUAAUAGCAAAUGACUGGCAGGGUUUUUUUUAUCAUUAUUUCUUUGAUUGGAUUGUUUGGGAGGGGUGCUCAGUGAGGAGGCAACAUUUAAACCUGAUUUGAGUAACUUAAAGGACCAAGCUCUUUAAAAAUCCAAGUCAGGGGAAUUAAACAUAGAGUAAGAGCCAGUGCAGAAGCUGUAAAAUUAGGAGUAUUUUUGGAGGUCAAAGGGAAUGCUAGUGUGGCUGAGAUAGAGUAAUAUAGAAUAAAAUGAAAAAAAGUCUCAAGGAGUUCCUGCUGCGGCACAGUGGUUUAAGGAUCCAGCAUUGGUUUUCAGUGGCUCAGGUCACUGCUGAGGUGUGGGUUCAGUCCCUGGCCUGGUAGCUUCCAUAUACCAUGGGUGCAGCCAAAAAAAAAAACCAAAAAAAAAAACAAACAAACAAACAAACAACAACAACAAAACAAAACAAAACGAAAAACCUCAAAAAGAAAAAUGGGAAUCUGAGAAACAGUGGAACAAACCCAGCAGUGUAAUGAAAGGAACCCCAGGAUGACAGCUGCGAAGCAGUCCUAGGAAACAAUGGGUCCAAAUGAAUAUAGGACACCCACAGGCCCAAUAAAGAAGGACUUUAAUAAGAAAGGAGGUUACAUUACACACAUUAUAUGAUUAAGAACCUGGAAGAUUUUCAUGAUAAGACAGACGCAUAUGUCUUCUGUUUAUUAAAAAAAGAGAAAUGCAAUAGAAAUUGUAAGGAAAAUAAAAAUUUUAUAAGAAAUUUAUAGUUCAAAUAGGAAGUAAGUUGAAAUGUGGCAUGAUUUAGAUCAGUUGAUGUAAUUUAAGAAAAGAGAACACAUUUGAUCUUUUUUUUUUUUUUUUUUUUUUUGGUCUUUUUAGGGCCACACCCAUAGCAUAUGGAAAUCAGAGCUGUAGCUGCCGGCCUAUACCACAGCCAUAGCAAUGUGGGAUCCGAGCCAAGUCUGUGACCUAUACCACAGCUCAUAGCAAUGCUGGAUUCUUAACCCACUGAGCGAAGCCGAGGAUCAAAUCCAAGUCCUCAUGGAUGCUAGUUGAGUUUGUUACCACUGAGCCAUGACGGGACCACCCACAUUUGAUCUUUUUAAAUUGAAAUAUAGUUAACAUGCAGUAUUAAGUUAGUUUCAGGUGUACUAGAAGAUGAUUUGAUAUUUACAUACAUUAUAAAAUGAUAACCAUGGUAACCUAGUAACCAUCUGUCCCCAUCCAAUUAUUACAAUAUUAUUGACCAUGUUCCUUAUGCUGUAUGUUACAUCUGUGACUUAUUUCUUUUUUUUUAAUAAAGAUCUUUAUUUUUUCCAUUAUAGUUGGUUUACAGUGUUCUGUCAGUUUUCUACUGUACAGCAAAGUGACCCAGUCCACUUAUUUCUUACAUAACUGGAGGCCUGUUCCUCUAAAUCCCCUUCAUCUACUUUGCCCAUCCCCUCAUGCCCUUCCCCUACUUUGUUUUCUGUAUCUAUGUUUUUGUGGUUUUUUUUUUAAUUAAAAAAAUUUUUUUUGUCUGUUUUUAGGGCCAUACCCUUGCCAUAUGGAAUUUCCCAGGCUAGGGGUCAUAUUGGAGCUGAGCCGCCAGCCUACACCACAGCUCAUGGCAACGCCAGAUCCUUAACCCACUGAGUGAGACCAGGGAUCGAAUCCAAGUCCUCAUGGAUACUAGUCAGGUUUUUACCACUGAGCCACAAGGGAACUCCUGUUUUGUUUUUCAGAUCCACACAUAAGUGAGAUCCAGUGGUAUUUCUGUUUUUUUGUCUGAUUUAUUUCACUUAAUGCAGUGCUGCAGGGUCCAUCCAUCUUUCCUUCUUUUCAUGAGUAAUAUUCUAUUAUCUGUAUGUUAUACAUAUUAUAUAUAGCAAAUUUUCUUGGAGUUCCUGUUGUGACUCAGCAGGUUAAGAAUCCGACUAGUAUCUAUGAGGACUCAGGUUCGAUCCUUGGCCUCACUCAGUGGGUUAAGGAUCCAGUGUUGCUGCAAGGUGGUGUAAGUCACAGAUGCGGCUCAGAUCUAGUGUUGCCAUGGCUAUGGUGUAGGCUGGCAGCUGCAGCUCCAAUUUGACCUCUAGCCUGGGAACUUCCAUUUGCCACAGGUGUGGCCCCAAAAAAGAAAAAAAGAAAAAGAAAAAAA
rnacentral:lncRNA from 1 species